CCUACGGGAGGCUGCAGUGGGGGAUAUUGCACAAUGGGGGGAACCCUGAUGCAGCGACGCCGCGUGGGUGAAGAAGCGCCUCGGCGCGUAAAGCCCUGUCAGCAGGGAAGAAAAUGACGGUACCUGAAGAAGAAGCCCCGGCUAACUACGUGCCAGCAGCCGCGGUAAUACGGAGGGGGCAAGCGUUAUCCGGAUUUACUGGGUGGAAAGGGGGCGCAGACGGCGAUGCAAGCCAGGAGUGAAAGCCCGGGGCCCAACCCCGGGACUGCUCUUGGAACUGCGUGGCUGGAGUGCAGGAGGGGCAGGCGGAAUUCCUGGUGUAGCGGUGAAAUGCGUAGAUAUCAGGAGGAACACCGGUGGCGAAGGCGGCCUGCUGGACUGCAACUGACGUUGAGGCCCGAAAGCGUGGGGAGCAAACAGGAUUAGAUACCCCUGUAGUC
rnacentral:rRNA from 1 species